AUGUUUAAAAAGGGGAGAAAGUAUACUCAUAGGAUAGAGCUCUGGGUGAAACCGAGCAGGAGACCCAGCAUGAGCAAUAGAAAUGGACCAGACCUAUGCCAAGUGAGCAAACAAACAGAAAACAAUGGAAGCUUGGAUCCGGAGACAAAGAUGCUGUGCCAGCAAACCAGAGGAAAUGUGCUACAACUUAGGAGCAAAAUACUGCUGGAAAUGUUUAAACUAUUUUAUUCAGCAAGUGCAGUCUACCGAAAUCUGGGCGCGAGUUUCAUGCACUCCAAAGUUGCAGAAGGAUUAGACUGGGAGAAAGCAUUCAUGUGAUGCAAGAACUCGAUGAGCUGUCUGGCAUACACCCCUCAAUAUAGCCAUAUUGCUCUUUUCUUGGUCCAUACAUAGAAAUCUUCUCUUAAAUAACAACAACUGAGCUUCAUUGCAGAUUUAUGCAUAUUUAUGUUACCAAAACUAUACAAACAAUAGUUUUUAUGCUAGUAAUACAAUUGAUGUAACCUCAUAAGUAAUUUUAGUAUUAAGGUUGAAAAGUCACUAAAAGUAGAGACUACUUACAGUAUUUUCUCUGGGAUAUGGUGUGUGUCAAUGUCAUUUGUAAUCUGAGAUCUCUGUGAAGAUGCUGGGUUAUAAUACUUGUAAAUGCCAAAGUUUUCUGAUUUUCAAAGCAAUUGUAUAUGAUACAUAUAUAAUUAAUCUAUUUCCUAAAACACAAAUACGUAUCUGGAAGACACAUAUCAAGUUGUGCACAUACAAAUCAGUAUGCUAAGUUAAAUCAUAGUAAGGCUAUUGAAGGUUAAAUUACUGCUUGAGAAAACUACUUGCUAAAGAAAAAAAUUGGAAAAAGCUACCAUGGAUAAGUGAGGGACUCACAGAGCCAUAUGUUUUAGAGGCUCACCAGAAAAGGAAUGAAGUCUUUGAGUCAUCUAGAAGACUAUGGGAAGAACAAGAAUUUACCACACACUUGCUUUGUUCAAAAACACAAAACUUGGCCCUUUUUUUGAAAACUAGUCACUCUGAUAAAGUUUAAUGUUCAUAAAUUUUAGUCCCUUAGAAGCAGGAUUUGUGUACCUUCUGGUAAUCUCAUUUGUACUUACAUCUGUAUUUAUUUUAAGUGUAUUUGCAUAGUUAUGAUUUGAGGCUUUGUGACAAUUUUCAUUACACCUCUUAACUCAGAGAAAUAAAAUUAGUGACUGCUUUUCCCCUGAAGGACA
rnacentral:lncRNA from 1 species